AGACGCUGUUUCCACUCGUUCAGUGCUGGAAUGAACAUCGACCCUCUUCAGCUCAUCGCAAGAAUGAAGAAAACUAAAUGCAUGGCAGAUGAGCUGUGGAGUGUCACAAACCGCAGGAGAA